UACGUAGGGGGCAAGCGUUGUCCGGAAUCAUUGGGCGUAAAGAGCGUGUAGGCGGCCAGAAAAGUCCGCUGUGAAAACUCGAGGCUCAACUUCGAGCUGUCGGUGGAAACUUUCUGGCUAGAGUCCGGAAGAGGAGAAUGGAAUUCCUGGUGUAGCGGUGAAAUGCGCAGAUAUCAGGAAGAACACCCGUGGCGAAGGCGGUUCUCUGGGCUGACACUGACGCUCAUGCACGAAAGCGUGGGAGCGAACAGG
rnacentral:rRNA from 1 species